GUGUUAGUCAGCAUCUGUCACUGCGACAAACACUGGGACAAUAGCUUAUACAGAGGAAAGCAUCGCUGUGGUCCGUACUUUCAGAGGGUAUGGUCCCUGGCUGAUUAACCCCACUCCUUCGGCAAAGGCAGGAUUGUACGCCAAAGCAAAACCACCCACCAGACGGCAGGGGGAAAGGAAGGCAGAGAAAAGAGACUAAAGUCCCAUUAUCUCCUUCAAAACCACAUUUCCAAAGGCCUAGCGUCCUCUAUCAGGUCUUGGCUCCUGAAGGUGGGUCACACUGUGCCCCAAACUCCACCACGUGGAUCUCUAAGGGACACUGAAAACCCAAAUGACAGCGACGCCCAACAUCGCAGAAACAGGAGUCUCUUCAGAGUGGAAACCUCCACGGGCUGCUUCAGAACUGACGGAUUGCAGGUUCUGGGAAUUGUCAGAUUACUUGGCUUACAUGGCAAUUUCCCUGACCCUCCAAGUCAUCCUUCUGGCCCUCGACAAUCUAUUUCUAAACCAAUGAGUCCUUACAUGUCAAAGAACAGGCAUGAUCCAGAUAGGAACAGACGUGUUCCUGGUAGAACAGCAAGAUGACAUGUGGACAUAAGCAUCAUCCUUUUCUCGGCCAAGCUUUGGAUCAGCCCUGGAGCUACAAUGGACGGCAGGGGACUUCUAAUGGAUCACUUAGAUGGAAGAGAUAACCUAUAAGCCACCGAACACAUGUCCUCUACCCAUGUCUCGGGACAAUCGAGCCGACUGUGGGAACAAGACAGAAGCAUGAGUGAGCGGGCACAGGGUACGACAGAGGGAGGCUGCGUGAGCGUCUCCCAGAGACCACUGGAGACUGAGGGUCAGAGAUGACGCAUGGGAAGCUACUUGUUUACUAGUCAAGAGGACCAUAGGAGAGGGCAGGGCUUCCCAGAGAGUGUCUCUGAGGAAUGGAGCAAGGCCAGACUUUGUGCAGAAAAACACACAUCAUCCAGCGCCAGAGGAGGCUUCACCCGCCUCAGCUGAACUGUCCUGUGAUGAAGAGCCUUGGCUUUCACAAAGCCCCCAAGAAAGAGAGGCAGCUCCAUCCUCAUUCCUUUCUUUUUGAAUGGCAUCUCGUGUUACUCAGCUGACCUCAAUCCCACUUAUGUAGACAAGGAUGACUUUGAAAUCCUGACGCUCUUGCUUUCGUCUCCCGACUCCUAGGAUUACAGGUGUGCUCCGCCACACCUAGCCAGUGAAGCACUGAGGAUCGAGGUCACGUCUUUGUGCAUAGCACUCUGCCAACCGAGUGGCAUCCUCAGCUCCAUUCCCAUUCUCUUUCUACCCGAGUUUUCAUAACUAAUGCUUUGCAUUUGAUCAGUGCCAACUCUUUGCAAGCCCAGCCCCUGAACUGUUGAUUUCUGGCUGGAACACAACUGAUGUGGAAAUCCCCUCUUUGUGCUGUCAUUGCUAUUAAUAAAUAAAGAAACUGCCUUGGCCUGUUGAUAGGGCAGAACUUAGGUAAGUGGAGAAAACUGGACUGAACGCUGGGAGGAAGAAGGCGGAGUCAGGGAACGUCAUGGAGCCACUACCUCUGGAGAUAGACGUGUUGAAACGUUGCUGGUAGGCCACGACCUCGUGGUAGUACACAGAUUAAUGGAGAUGGGCUAAAUUAAUAA